rnacentral:rRNA from 1 species
UUAAGCAAGGAAGUGCACACGGAGGAUGCCUUGGCACUUGGAGCCGAAGAAGGACGUAGUAAGUUGCGAUAAGCCAUGGGGAGCCGCAAGCAGGCUUUGAUCCAUGGAUUUCCGAAUGGGGAAACCCGAUGUGAAGAAAUUUGCAUCAUUCGUAUCAGAACACAUAAGAUACGAAAGGGAACGCAGGGAACUGAAACAUCUUAGUACCUGUAGGAAGAGAAAGAAAGUAAUCGAUUUUCUGAGUAGCGGCGAGCGAAAGGGAAAGAGCCCAAACCGAGUUUGGAAACAAACGAGGGGUAAGGACCGACAAAAGCAAGAUAGCGUGAUCUGAACAGGUCUGGGAAGCCUGACCAGAGACGGUGAAAGUCCGGUAAGAGAAGCGCGACAAUAGCAGUCGGAAUCCGGAGUAGUGCGGGACACGAGGAAUCCCGUAUGAAGGAGGAGGGACCACCCUCUAAGGCUAAAUACUACCAAGUGACCGAUAGAGAACAAGUACCGUGAGGGAAAGGUGAAAAGGACCCCGGGAGGGGAGUGAAAGAGAACCUGAAACCGUGUGUAUACAAGCGGAGGAAGCCGCGAGGCGACCUCGUACUUUUUGUAGAACGGACCGGCGACUUACAGUAGCAUGCGAGGUUAAGUGUUAGAGAAGGCACGGAGCCGAAGGGAAACCGAGUUUUAACAGAGCGUAGAGUAUGCUGCAGUAGACCCGAAACUGUGUGACCUAUCCAUGAACAGGUUGAAGCGGGAGUAAAAUUCUGUGGAGGACCGAACCCACCGCCGUUGAAAAGUUGGGGGAUGAGUUGUGGAUAGCGGAGAAAUUCUAAUCGAACACAGAUAUAGCUGGUUCUCCCCGAAAUAGCUUUAGGGCUAGCCUUAUAUAUGAUUACGGGAGGUAGAGCACUGAAUUGGGUAGGGGGCGUUAGCCUACCGAACCAUAUCAAACUGCGAAUGCCCGGGAAUUAAAGUAUGGGAGUCAGACUAAGAGAGAUAAGUUUCUUGGUCAAAAGGGAAAAAGCCCAGAUCAACAGCUAAGGUCCCAAAGUUCAGAUUAAGUGGAAAAGGAAGUGUUACCGCACAGACAGCCAGGAUGUUGGCUCAGAAGCAGCCAUACAUUCAAAGAGUGCGUAAUAGCUCACUGGUCAAGUGGUAAUGCGCCGAUGAUGUAACGGGGCUAAAAUCUGACACCGAAGCUAUGGGAUGAUACUAAAGUGUAUGAUCGGUAGGGGAGCAUCGUAUAAAGGACGAAGCAUGAUUGAAAGAGAGUGUGGACAAAAUACGAGAGAGAAUGCCGGUAUGAGUAGCGAGAGCGAAGUGAGAAACGAAGCCGUCGAAUGCCCAAGGUUUCCUGGGGAAGGUUCAUCCACCCAGGGUAAGUCGGGACCUAAGGUGAGAGCGAAAGCUGUAGCUGAUGGACAAUCGGUAGAAAUUCCGAUACCACCGAACCCGUUUGAGAGACGCAGUGACACAGAAGGAGAAGUAUGUCGCGGAUAUGGAAAUCUGCGAGUAAGCAGUGAGUUUAGUAUGUAGUAAAGAACGCAUGCUGAAAAGAAUGAGCUGUAACACGGACUGAAAUUAAAGUAAGGAAGUAUACUGAUAUCACGCUGGCGAGAAAAGCUGCUAUCGAGGGAAAAGGUGCCCGUACCACAAACCGACGCAGGUGGGCGAGUAGAGAAUACAAAGACGGACGGGAUAACCCUUGUUAAGGAACUCGGCAAAAUGACCCCGUAACUUCGGGAGAAGGGGUACCUAUGAGAAUAGGUCACAGAGAAGAGGCCCAAGCAACUGUUUACCAAAAACACAGGUUUCUGCUAAAUCGGAAGAUGAAGUAUAGGAGCUGACACCUGCCCAGUGCCGGAAGGUUAAGAGGAGAAGUCAGGGGAAACCCGAAGCUUUGAAUUGAAGCCCCGGUGAACGGCGGCCGUAACUAUAACGGUCCUAAGGUAGCGAAAUUCCUUGUCAGGUAAGUUCUGACCCGCACGAAAGGUGUAAUGAUUUGGGCGCUGUCUCAACAAGGGACCCGGCGAAAUUGAAGUGCCAGUGAAGAUACUGGCUACCCGCGAUUGGACGGAAAGACCCCGUAGAGCUUUACUGUAACCUGAUACUGAAUUUUGAUAAUGAAUGCACAGGAUAGGUGGGAGGCGAAGAAGUCAGCGCUUCGGCGUUGGCGGAGCCAAUGUUGGGAUACCACCCUUUCGUUAGCGAGGUUCUAACCGUAUGACGUAAGCCGUAUAAGGGACACUGUCAGGUGGGCAGUUUGACUGGGGCGGUCGCCU